rnacentral:lncRNA from 1 species
GCGUGUUCAAAGGGGCUGGUUGGUUCAUCAUUAGAAAAGUACAGAAACGGCGCGACACAGGACAAGGUAAAGAGCACAGGACAGGGCGCUGACUAACAACCAAAUGCUUUAUUUCCAGAAACGGCAUAUAAAGACAUCAUUGAAGGUCACACAAAAGAAAGAAAAAGAAAGAUAAGCAUUUGCCACGAAGAUAAUUUAGUUCUUUUAUUGACAGCGUGUGGGACGCAGAACUGACGCAUGCAUCGCCACUUGUGAAUAUGCAAAAAGUCUCAAAGAUUUCACACUUCUUGCAUAUUCACAAGUGGCGACGCAUGCGUCAGUUCUGCGUCCCUCACGCUGUCAACA